UAAUCCCACAUCAAUAUUUUAUUUUAGAGUCAGGGUCUAGGUCUGAUUCCCCGAGGUUUUACCCUCCUUUGGGGCUCCUCACGGAGUUAUCUCCAGAAUCCAUUCGAUGAAUAUUCGGAGAUUAAUCGGAAUAGAGUUCUUAAGUUUCAAAUCUGAUAGUUAAUCAUGCAUGAAAGUUUUAGCAUAAUUGUUUGAACGAUUCCGGCAUAAUCCUAUGUGUUCUUAAGGUGCUGAUUUAUAGAUUUGAUCUUGUAAGCAUGCAUGAAUUAAAUUGUUUGAUUCGAUUUUUCCACUGCGUUUUAAAACUUAAAAGAACUACGUAUGGCUUGAUCCCCCUUAUGAAGGGGUACGUAGGCAACCCGAUCAGGUUCAGCCAUGGU
rnacentral:lncRNA from 1 species